rnacentral:rRNA from 1 species
UACGAAGGGGGGCUAGCGUUGCUCGGAAUCACUGGGCGUAAAGCGCACGUAGGCGGCUUGUUAAGUCAGGGGUGAAAUCCUGGAGCUCAACUCCAGAACUGCCCUUUUGAUACUGGCGAGCUUGAGUUCGGGAGAGGUGAGUGGAACUGCGAGUGUAGAGGUGAAAUUCGUAGAUAUUCGCAAGAACACCAGUGGCGAAGGCGGCUCACUGGCCCGAUACUGACGCUGAGGUGCGAAAGCGUGGGGAGCAAACAGG